UUACCAGGUCUUGACAUCCCUGACAACCCGAGAGAUCGGGCCGUUCCCCGUUCGGGGGGACAGGGUGACAGGUGGUGCAUGGUUGUCGUCAGCUCGUGUCGUGAGAUGUUGGGUUAAGUCCCGCAACGAGCGCAACCCCUAUUGUUAGUUGCCAUCAUUCAGUUGGGCACUCUAGCGAGACUGCCGGUAAUAAACCGGAGGAAGGUGGGGAUGACGUCAAAUCAUCAUGCCCCUUAUGACCUGGGCUACACACGUGCUACAAUGGUUGGUACAACGAGUUGCGAGUCGGUGACGGCGAGCUAAUCUCUUAAAGCCAAUCUCAGUUCGGAUUGUAGGCUGCAACUCGCCUACAUGAAGUCGGAAUCGCUAGUAAUCGUGGAUCAGCAUGUCACGGUGAAUACGUUCCCGGGUCUU
rnacentral:rRNA from 1 species